rnacentral:rRNA from 1 species
GACGAACGCUGGCGGCGUGCUUAACACAUGCAAGUCGAACGGAAAGGCCCUGCUUUUGUGGGGUGCUCGAGUGGCGGACGGGUGAGUAACACGUGAGUAACCUGCCCUUGACUUUGGGAUAACUUCAGGAAACUGGGGCUAAUACCGGAUAGGAGCUCCUGCUGCAUGGUGGGGGUUGGAAAGUUUCGGCGGUUGGGGAUGGACUCGCGGCUUAUCAGCUUGUUGGUGGGGUAGUGGCCUACCAAGGCUUUGACGGGUAGCCGGCCUGAGAGGGUGACCGGCCACAUUGGGACUGAGAUACGGCCCAGACUCCUACGGGAGGCAGCAGUGGGGAAUAUUGCACAAUGGGCGGAAGCCUGAUGCAGCAACGCCGCGUGUGGGAUGACGGCCUUCGGGUUGUAAACCGCUUUCGCCUGUGACGAAGCGUGAGUGACGGUAAUGGGUAAAGAAGCACCGGCUAACUACGUG